UCUCGAAAGCCUGUCCCAGUUCGGACUGGAGUCUGCAACCCGACUCCACGAAGUUGGAUUCGCUAGUAAUCGCGCAUCAGCCAUGGCGCGGUGAAUACGUUCCCGGGCCUUGUACACACCGCCCGUCAAGCCAUGGGAGCCGGGGGCGCCUGAAGUCCGGGACCGCGAGGACCGGCCUAGGGCGAAACUGGUAACUGGGGCUAAGUCGUAACAAGGUAAC
rnacentral:rRNA from 1 species